rnacentral:rRNA from 1 species
UUCUUUAAAUGGGGACUUGUAUCAACGGCACCACGAGGGUUAGACUGUCUCCUUUUUCAAAUCAGUGAAAUUAAUCUCCCCGUGAAGAAGCGGGGAUACUCAUAUAAGACGAGAAGACCCCAUGGAGCUUCAAACCCAACUACACCCCUAGCUCUUAUAGCCCCACAACCCCCCUAGGCACCGUGUGCUUGGUUUUAGGUUGGGGCGACCGCGGAGUACAAUAAAACCUCCACAAUGAAUGGGAACACCCCCUUAUCUGAGGGCCACACCCCCUAAGAAUUAGAACACUAACAUAAAAUGAUCCAUUACUUGAUCAAUGAACCAAGUUACCCUGGGGAUAACAGCGCAAUCCAUUUCAAGAGCCCCUAUCGACAAAUGGGUUUACGACCUCGAUGUUGGAUCAGGGUACCCCAGUGGUGCAGCAGCUACUAA